AAAGACCUUAAGCUUUUGGAGCGGCCGAUGUCUGAUUAGCUAGUUGGGGAGGUAAAGGCUCACCAAGGCGACGAUCAGUAGUUGGUCUGAGAGGACGACCAGCCACACUGGGACUGAGACACGGCCCAGACUCCUACGGGGGGCGGCAGUGGGGACUUUUGGACAAUGGGCGCAAGCCUGAUCCAGCAAUGCCGUGUGGGUGAAGAAGGCCUUCGGGUUGUAAAGCUCUUUCAGUCGAGAAGAAAAGGUUGUGAUUAAUACUCACAAUCCAUGACGGUAUCGACAGAAGAAGCACCGGCUAACUACGUGCCAGCAGCCGCGGUAAUACGUAGGGUGAGCGUUAAUCGGAAUUACUGGGCGUAAAAGGUGCGCAGGCGGCUCUGUAAGUCAGACGUGAAAUCCCCGGGCUUAACCUGGGAAUU
rnacentral:rRNA from 1 species